rnacentral:rRNA from 1 species
UACAGAGGUGGCAAGCGUUGUUCGGAAUUACUGGGCGUAAAGGGCGCGUAGGCGGCCCCGUCAGUCCUGUGUGAAAUCCCUCGGCUCAACUGAGGAACCGCACAGGAUACUGCAGGGCUUGAGUUCGGGAGAGGGAAGCGGAAUUCCGGGUGUAGCGGUGAAAUGCGUAGAUAUCCGGAGGAACACCGGUGGCGAAGGCGGCUUCCUGGACCGACACUGACGCUGAGGCGCGAGAGCUAGGGGAGCAAACGGG